AUGUUAAAAAUAAUUUUUAUAUCUUUAUCUUUAAUAAUUAUAAUAUCUUUAAUUAAAUCUUCAUUUUAUAAAAUAAUUUUUAAAAAUUAUAUAUUUAUACUAAAUAUUAUAUUAAUUUUAUUAAUUAAUAAAGUAAAUAAUUAUUAUAAUAUUUUUUAUUCAUUAGGAAUAGAUUCAAUUUCUUUAAGAUUAAUAAUAUUAAGUAUUUGAAUUUUAAGAAUUUGUUUAAUAGCAAGAAAUAAAGAACUAAAUAAAUAUUAUAAAAAAAUUUUUUUAUUAAUUAUAUUUUCUUUGUUAAUAAUUUUAAUAAUUACAUUUUUUUCUAUAAAUUUAAUAUUAUUUUUUAUUUUUUUUGAAUUAAGAUUAAUUCCUAUAAUAUUAUUAAUUAUAGGAUGAGGUAUACAAAUUAAUCGUAUUCAAGCUUCAAUAUAUAUAAUUUUUUACACUUUAUUUGGAUCAUUACCACUUUUAAUAAUAAUUAUAAUAAUAUAUAUUAAAAUAAAUACAUUAAUAUUAAAUAUAUUAAAUAUAACAAAUUUAAAUAAUAUAAUAAAUUUAUUUUAUUAUAUAAUUUUAAUUACAGCUUUUUUAAUCAAAAUACCAAUAUAUUUUAUACAUUUAUGAUUACCAAAAGCACAUGUAGAAGCUCCAAUUAGAGGAUCAAUAAUUUUAGCAGGAAUUAUACUAAAAAUAGGAAGAUAUGGGAUUUUUCGUUUAAUAUUAAUUUUUCCUAAAUUAUUUAUUAAAUUUAAUAUUUUUUUAAUAAUUAUUAGAAUAAUUGGAAGAAUUUAUAGAAGAUUAAUUUGUUUAUCCCAAAGUGAUAUAAAAAUUAUUGUAGCUUAUUCUUCAGUAGUUCAUAUAAGAAUUUUAAUAGCAAGAAUAAUAAGAAUAACUCAAUGAAGAUUUUUUAGAAGAAUUAUAAUAAUAAUUGCUCAUGGAUUAUGUUCAUCAGGAAUAUUUUGUUUAGUUAAUAUAAAUUAUGAUCGAAUUCAUUCUCGAAGAUUAAUAAUUAAUAAAGGUAUAAUAAUAAUUAUACCAAGAAUUUCAUUAUGAUGAUUUUUAUUAUGUACUUCUAAUUUUUCAGCUCCUCCUUCUUUAAAUUUAUUUAGAGAAAUAAUAUUAUUUAAUAGAUUAAUUUUAUGAAAUAAUUUAAUUAUUCCUAUAUUAUUUAUAGUAAUAUUAAUUGGAACUUCUUAUUCAAUUUAUUUAUUUGCUUUUUCUCAAUACGGAAAAUUAUUUAAAAAUAUUUUUAAUUUUAAAAUAAUUUCAAUUCAAGAAAUAUUAAUUUUAAUGUUACAUUGAGUGCCUUUAAAUAUUAUUUUUAUUCAAAUAAUUUUUUUAAUUUAA
rnacentral:misc_RNA from 1 species